AGACGCGCAAGUCUCAGAGACAGAUAGAGUCAUAGAUAGAGAGAUGUUGUGUACGUAGCCAGGAACCCAAUCCAUCCAUCCAUCCACCCGGAUCAGAUCAUCAGAGAGGGAGAGGGUGGGGAGCGUGGAAGAAUCCGCUUUUGGCCUUGGCCGACUGACAAACCCAGCCAGGGAGGAAGAUCGUUCGUACCACGACAGGCGACAAAUCUUCCCUCCCACUGCCGUCUCUCCUUCCUUCUCUGUCGUCUCCGUCCUCCUCGGCGCCGCUUCCAUCCAUCCAUCCUCCCCACGGUGUGGGGGUUAAGGCCGGAAGGGGGUGGGUAGGUACGGUCGGGCUGCUGUUUGCGGUUUUACUACUGUAUUUAUUAGUCCACGGGUCG
rnacentral:rRNA from 1 species